rnacentral:rRNA from 1 species
AUUGAACGCUGGCGGCAUGCCUUACACAUGCAAGUCGAACGGUAACAGGUUAAGCUGACGAGUGGCGAGCGGGUGAGUAAUAUAUCGGAACGUGCCCAGUCGUGGGGGAUAACGCGGCGAAAGCUGUGCUAAUACCGCAUACGAUCUAUGGAUGAAAGCGGGGGAUCGCAAGACCUCGCGCGAUUGGAGCGGCCGAUAUCAGAUUAGCUAGUUGGUGGGGUAAAGGCCCACCAAGGCGACGAUCUGUAGCUGGUCUGAGAGGACGACCAGCCACACCGGAACUGAGACACGGUCCAGACUCCUACGGGAGGCAGCAGUGGGGAAUUUUGGACAAUGGGCGCAAGCCUGAUCCAGCAAUGCCGCGUGCAGGACGAAGGCCUUCGGGUUGUAAACUGCUUUUGUACGGAACGAAACGGUUCUCUCUAAUACAGGGGGCUAAUGACGGUACCGUAAGAAUAAGCACCGGCUAACUACGUGCCAGCCGCCGCAGUAA